ACGCUGGCGGCGUGCUUAACACAUGCAAGUCGAACGCGAAAGGGACUUCGGUCCUGAGUAAAGUGGCGCACGGGUGAGUAACGCGUAGAUAACCUGUCUUCAUGUCUGGAAUAAUACGCCGAAAGGGGUACUAAUACCGGAUAUUCUUGCUUUUCAUAAGUUAUGCAAGCAAAGGUGGCCUCUGCAUAUGCUACUGCAUGAAGAGGGGUCUGCGUACCAUUAGCUAGUAGGUGGGGUAAUGGCCUACCUAGGCGACGAUGGUUAGCGGGUCUGAGAGGAUGAUCCGCCACACUGGCACUGGAACACGGGCCAGACUCCUACGGGAGGCAGCAGUGAGGAAUAUUGCGCAAUGGGGGAAACCCUGACGCAGCGACGCCGCGUGAGUGAGGAAAGGCCUUCGGGUCGUAAAGCUCUGUCAAGAGGAAAGAAGUGUACAAUGGCUAAUACCUGUUGUAUUUGACGGUACCUCUAAAGGAAGCACCGGCUAACUCCGUGCCAGCAGCUGC
rnacentral:rRNA from 1 species